rnacentral:rRNA from 1 species
UAACGCGUGAGCAACCUGCCCUUCGGAGGGGGAUAGUGUCUGGAAACGGACAGUAAUACCGCAUAACGUAUUUUUACCGCAUGAUAGAAAUACCAAACUGAGGUGCCGAAGGAUGGGCUCGCGUUGGAUUAGAUAGUUGGUGGGGUAACGGCCUACCAAGUCAACGAUCCAUAGCCGGACUGAGAGGUUGAACGGCCACAUUGGGACUGAGACACGGCCCAGACUCCUACGGGAGGCAGCAGUGGGGAAUAUUGCACAAUGGGGGAAACCCUGAUGCAGCAACGCCGCGUGAAGGAAGACGGUUUUCGGAUUGUAAACUUUUGUUCUUAGUGAAGAAAAAUGACGGUAGCUAAGGAGCAAGCCACGGCUAACUACGUGCCAGCAGCCGCGGUAAUACGUAGGUGGCAAGCGUUGUCCGGAAUUACUGGGUGUAAAGGGAGCGCAGGCGGGAAGCCAAGUCAGCUGUGAAAACUACGGGCUUAACUUGUAGACUGCAGUUGAAACUGGUUUUCUUGAGUGAAGUAGAGGUUGGCGGAAUUCCGAGUGUAGCGGUGAAAUGCGUAGAUAUUCGGAGGAACACCGGUGGCGAAGGCGGCCAACUGGGCUUUAACUGACGCUGAGGCUCGAAAGUGUGGGGAGCAAACAGGAUUAGAUACCCUGGUAGU